rnacentral:lncRNA from 1 species
GAUGAGGCAAACCCCUUCGCGCUAGUCUGUCCGAGGUCCAACAAAGGUUUUUCAUAGCCAGCCAUGAGAAAAAGCGGCACUGGAGCGGCCAGGGGCGGAGCCAGGAUUUAGGUAUAGGGGGGGGGGCCAAGCCAAGUAGAUAGAAAAAAAAUCCAGUGCAAAAGAUAAUUAUAAAGAACAAGGUUGAGAACUUGCACAACAAUCUUAUUAACAAUUUCAGUAUGUCAAGAAUUCGAAGAAACCGGCUGAGGAAAAAAAUUAAUUUUAAUGGUGUUUGGAGUUGUUUUUUUCUCUUCUUAGUUGACGAAUUUCAGUUUUAUAAGUAACCAACUUAGAAAACAAAUUAAUCUUAAUGGUGUUUGGCAGUUCCUUUUCUAUUCAAAGUUUAGGGUGCAGCCCCUGCUCGUCCCCCUGGCUCCGCCACUGGGAGCGGCCCAUGUUUAUAUAUCUAUCACUAAUAAAGUGAAUAGCUAUCUUAGUCUGUCAUGCUAUUUUGCAGAAAACCUCUUAAUAUUUUUGGUAAUCAACCUGUAGUUCAAUUUCAAGUCAGAUUUUCAUUUUUGGAGGAAACCCCAUGAUGUUUUUGGUAAUCAACCGGUAGGCUAGAAUUAAGUCAGAUUUUUGCUUUUGCAGGUAACCUCCUGAUAUUUGGGUCAAUCAAAUUGCGCUACAUAUCAAAUACUUUAAGAAAAUAU